GACGUAGACCUCUGGAACUGGUGCACGGAAGGAGCAGCAGCACAGGGGGAAUCCGUGACAACAUGCUCACGUGUAGUUUCAUGUUAUCACAUGUUGUCACAUUAACUUCCCAUAAGAUUACGUGAUCACAUGAAAACGUGUUUUCGGAACACUUCACGUGAAAUUAAUGUGGUUUUUCCGUAAGGGAAAUGUCAGAGCAUAGGUUGAACCAAGCGGGAAGCAAGGAUAUACGAUCUAUUAAGGCCAAGCUGGGAGUCCACAAUGUGCAGCAGGAGUAAGGUCAGGAAAGGCUUGUGAAACAGGCAUUUCCACAUCCAAAUUAUGAUGAAGAAUAUAAUAAUGAUAUCAUGCUACUCAAGGAGAUUGCAGUUUUCACCGACCAUGUGAGACCCAUUGGCCUCCCGCUUACAAAAGAUGAGGAGGUGCCCAAGGACUGUCUGGUGUCAGGCUGGGGACACACUAUCAGGAAUGUAAAUCAAGGCUCCCCUGUGCUUCAGGACCUCAAUGUGGCACUGGAUGAGAAUCAACUUUGCUCUGACAACCAUCAGGUUUGCUCAUCAGGACUAAAUGAACCUGCUCAGGGAGACUCUGGUGGUCCAUUAGUCUGUAAUGGUGUGGCCUAUGGGGUGGUGUCUACCAAGACUUGAAACAACAUCUACAUGCGCAUCCCUGACUUCCUGGACUAGAUCAAUGACACCAUGAAGAAUUGAUAUGUCACUGACCAGAAACAUUUAGUUAAUUUGGUCAACCAGGUGCCUAUUACAUGACUAUGAUACUGUGAAGAAUCCUAAUGUGCUUAUCAUGCUUUCUGAUUGAUUUACCAGUGCUGGUUAAUGUCUUUGCCCGGAGCUGGUUCUUCCUAAUAAUUUUUUCUUCUUCCCAGUGGAGUUCUCAACUUACUGAUGAGAGUUUGAAAAGUAGAAUACACAAGGUGCCAUUUUGAAAUUUGGUUGUGCAUCAGCAGUUUUUAAAAAUCUCAGUCACUGACAGUCAACAAUUUGUAUUGCUUGGUAAGGUAGUCUAGCCAGCUAUCUAAACCUUGUAGAUGGCCUAAUCAUCACCAAAUUACCGACCGGGCAUGUACCCAGGGGCCCUGACCUCUAGAGGCCCUCAUUGAUUUGUUAGUCACUCUCACACAGAUAUCACAUUUUUGAAUUUGUAUUUAUUAGGGAUCCCCAUUAGCUGUUGCCAAGACAGCAGCUACUCUUCCUGGGGUCCAAACACAUUAAAGGCACUUACAUCACACAAAACAAAAGAUAAAACGGUACUUCAUAUAACAUUAUUACACCACUACAUAUCUACAAUAUAAAAUGUAUAAUACCACCAUACAACAAUAUUACAAUGUACAUGUGUGUAGAGUGCAUGUGCUAGUGUUUGUAUGUGUGUCUGUACCUGUGUAUCUCUUCACGAUACCUGCUGUUCCAAAAGGUGUAUUUUCCUCUUUAAAAAAAAAAAUCUGAUUCUACUGCUUGCAUCAUUUACCUGAUGUGGAAUAGAGUUCCAUGUAGUCAUGGCUCUAUGUAGUACUGUGCGCCUCCCAUAGUUUGUUCUGUACUUUGAGACUGAAGAGACUUCAGGUGACAUGUCUUGUGGGGUAAGCAUGUGUGUCAGAGCUGUGUGCUACUAGUUUAAACAGACAGCUCGGUGCAUUCAGCUUGUCAACACUUCUUACAAAAACAAGUAGUGAUGAAGUCAAUCUCUCCUCCACUUUGAGCGAUGAGAGAUUAUUAUGCAUAUUAUUCAUUCAUGUUGGCUCUCCGUGUACAUUUAAGAGCCAGCCGUGCUGCCCUGUUCUGAGCCAAUUGCCAUUUUCUUAAGUCCCUCUUUGUGGCACCUGACCACAUUACUGAACAGUAGUCCAGGUGCGACAAAACUAGGGCCAGUAGGACCUGUGUUGUUAAGGCAGAGCAGUGCUUUAUUAUGGACAGACUUCUCCCCAUUUUAGCCACGUGCUGUGUUAACAUGUUUUGACCAUGACAGUUUACAAUCCAGGGUUACUCCAAGCAGUUAAGUCACCUCAACUUGCUCAAUUUUCACAUUAUUCAUUACAAUAUUUUUUCAAUGAUUUGUCCCAAAUACAAUACUUUUAGUUUUUGAAAUAUUUAGAACUAACUUGUACCUUGCUACCAAUUCUGAUAUUAACUGCAGCUCUUUGUUUAGUGUUUUUAUAUUAGACAUUAAUCAUAAAUAUGAGACAUAAAUCAUGGAAAAAUGUGUAGAAUUGCAGGAAAUUAGCCUUAUAUGCCCCUACAUGCAGUAACAAUUGAAACCUCUGAAUUUCCAUCUGUCAAACAAUGCUUUCAAAUCCUGUUCUGUGCUGCAGCAGUUUUAAAUCUUCAAUUAUUUACUGUGGGAUUAAACAGUAGAGUAGG